rnacentral:rRNA from 1 species
AAUGAACGUUGGCGGCAUGGAUUAGGCAUGCAAGUCGAGCGAGAAGUGUAGCAAUACACGGAAAGCGGCGGAAGGGAGAGUAAUACGUGGGAAUCUGCCCUUAGACCUGGGAUAGCAGCGGGAAACUGCUGGUAAUACCAGAUAACGUCUGUGGACCAAAGGUGUGAUUCCGUCUGGGGAUGAGCCCACGGCCUAUUAGCUAGUUGGCAGGGUAAUGGCCUACCAAGGCAAUGAUGGGUAGCGGGUGUGAGAGCAUGACCCGCCUCACUGGGACUGAGAACUGCCCAGACACCUACGGGUGGCUGCAGUCGAGAAUCUUCGGCAAUGAGCGCAAGCUUGACCGAGCGACGCCGCGUGCGGGAUGAAGGCCUUCGGGUUGUAAACCGCUGUCGUAGGGGAGCAAGAGAUGAGGGAACUCCCUCUGAUUUGAGCGAUCCUAGGAGGAAGGACGGGCUAAGUUCGUGCCAGCCGCCGCCGUAAAAC